rnacentral:rRNA from 1 species
ACGCGCGGAACCUUACCAGGUCUUGACAUCCUCUGACACUCCUAGAGAUAGGACGUUCCCCUUCGGGGGACAGAGUGACAGGUGGUGCAUGGUUGUCGUCAGCUCGUGUCGUGAGAUGUUGGGUUAAGUCCCGCAACGAGCGCAACCCUUGAUCUUAGUUGCCAGCAUUCAGUUGGGCACUCUAAGGUGACUGCCGGUGACAAACCGGAGGAAGGUGGGGAUGACGUCAAAUCAUCAUGCCCCUUAUGACCUGGGCUACACACGUGCUACAAUGGAUGGUACAAAGGGCAGCAAAACCGCGAGGUCGAGCGAAUCCCAUAAAACCAUUCUCAGUUCGGAUUGUAGGCUGCAACUCGCCUACAUGAAGCCGGAAUCGCUAGUAAUCGCGGAUCAGCAUGCCGCGGUGAAUACGUUCCCGGGCCUUGUACACACCGCCCGU